GGCCAGAUAGCUCAGUGGUUAAAGCAUCUGGGUGCAAACCAGAAGGUCCUGGGUUUCAAAUGCCUGCCUGGUCA